GGUGAUUCUACAUUCAGUGGAUGCUCGAAACGGCCUGAUCAAGGACGUGGAGGGUUACAGACAUUAACGGUUUUAUUAUUUUUGACGUUGGAUUGUUGUGAUAAAUCGGUUGAAAAUUACUAUAGAGCUAAAAUGUUUGCAGACAAUUUAUUUAUUAGUCUUUUCUAUACGUGAUAAAAUGUUCGUGAUUUUUGAGUUAUAAUCAUUUUAUUUUUGCGAGUUUUUUUAUGCAGU